GAACAACUCUUCUCAUCGCCGCCACCAUCAACGAUGCUCGAUCCACGCGACCUACCGGCCGGAAUCGAUGGUGCCACGCACACCACAUGGAUCCCCUCACUCUACUACUCCCUCCUAUCAUGGGAGAUCCAGCACGCGUGUCCUCCAAUGCUAACCGCGACCGUCUCUUGUUACUAGGGUUUCGGUAGGAUUGGCCCCGGUGACUCAGUACGGCGGAGGCGCGCGGGGUUGACCAAUCCAUGGGGGCGUCGUAUCUAGCAUCUGUGUCGCCAGAUCCCCCCUCCCAAAUCAAGUACGGCGGAGGCGCGCAGGGUUGACCAAUCCACGGGGGCGCCGGAUCCCCCUCCUAGCCAAACCACGGGAGUUGACCAAUCUAUCUGCAGGAACCUCUAGACGUGAUGGUCGAGCCUCAUAGGAGCAUGGACAUAACUGACGGAAAGUGGUGCCAAGACCGUAUCCAGUUUGUGCAACGAAUUCACAAGGACGUACUUCUGCAUAACAAUAUUUUAUUUUCUCUUUGCAGAUCCUUAGUUACAUCAUCGAGUUUUCAAUCCAUGCAUCUCUCAAAAAGGAAUUUCCCUGUGUAGAUUAUUGUUUUAUGAGUUUUACUACAAUGUAACUUUUAUACUAUUUGGCUAUGUUCAGUUAUUAGGAAACUUUUAGGAUCUGCACAUGAAGUAACAGAAACCUGUGCAGAUAAUGAACAUAAUCUUUUAGAUUAGUGCUACUUAUUCUAAGUGUAAAGGAUGCCGAGUUAACUUUGUAUUUUUAACAAAUACGGUUCAACAACAAGCUAUAUUAAAUAACAAUCCAGAUUAAAACAUUUUAACAGAUAGACUAUUUAAUAAAAUCUGCUCGCCUGCUAUUUAUAUACAUAACUAUUGGACAGUGGCAAGACUUCCAUUGUGUGUCUGAACGUGCACUAAUGUUUUCCUGCUAUUUAUAUACAUAACGAUUGGAAAGUGAGAAGAUUUCCAUUGUGUGCAUGAAUGUCCUUUUUUCUAUCAAUCCAUCUUUUAUCAUGCAUACAUGCUGUCAUAUACUAUAUGAUAAAUCUUUUAGAUGCUCACUGUAUAUAUAGGUGCUCAAAUUUUGAUUACAUGGAGCUUCUGUUUGUAGUGAAAAAAGGGUAUGUGCAGUUUUUAGUCAAUGUCUAUUUAAAUCAAUAGAAUUAGCAGGUUAACCCGCUAGAUUUUUUUUGAAAAUCAGUAUACAUAUGUUUUUUACAGAUGUUUAAAACAUGGACUUGCUCCCACAUGUGUUUGACACAAUAUAUGUGGUAUCUGUCAUACCUGAUGCGGUAUAAUACAAAUAAAUAUAUAGGUAAUAUAUGCACUUUAUAGAAAAUAAAGAGAUGUUAUAUACUACUACCGAAUGAUUUUAUCCAAAUGUUGUUGGUUCGUACAUACCUAAAUGUCAUGUUUUCUUACGCCACCCAUCUUAUUUGAGUUAUUAGACUUACAUUAUUGGAUUUUGGAGAAAAUUUGAUGCAUCAAAAUGCUUAGCUUACUCCCAGUCUCUCCUCAUAUCGAGGUUGAAGUAUUAGGUAAUACUAUUGUUUAGCACAUAACUUAUUACAUUAUGAAUUUUGGUGUGGCUUUCGAUUUUAUUUUUGUGGACAUUAUUUUUACACAUGCAAGCAUACCACCUCUGAUUAUACCUACUAGCGGUCAUAUCCUUCACAUGGUACAAAUCCUGAUACACUUUAUAGUAUUUUUGUUAUAAUUACUUUCAUGUAAAUCCAAACUAUUAUAGUUACUGAAAUUAAUUGGACAUUUAUUUAAGCCAUUUAACAAAGCGGAGCUCCAUUUGCUAGGGUUCGCAGGUCAUGAGAUGAGGUAAACUAACUUGUAAUAAGGCGUCUAGAGGUUAGUCACGCUGAGCUCCUAUCGCACCGCAGUCGUAUUCUUGGUUUAUGUCGACGGCAAACAAAUACUAUAAUGAGUUAUUACUUAAUUAUUAUGCUUACUUUUUUUCCUUUGAUAUGUUGGUUUUUCUUCUGAUAGCUUACCACAUACUUAUAGUAUAAACAAACAGGAAUUUGGCUUUGUAAAUUAUUUUGCGCCUUUGCAUAUGAUCUGGCCAGAUUUGUAUGUAAUGCUGAGGCUUGAAGCAUCACAAAAGCUUGUACAGAAUCAUGUGUAGUGGUUGGGUUCGAAUAUAUAGAUUGAGAUUUUUUUCUUACCGAAAGGAUUGCCCUUCUUCACAUAGCUGCAGCACGUCCACAACACAUGUUUUGUCGCAUGCACGUAUCAUACGCUGUUAGCGUUUGGAUUAGAUGUUCACGUUCUAGUACUCCCUCCGUUCCUAAAUAUUGUCUUUUUAGGUACUCCCUCUGUUUAUAUUUCUUGAUGUCAUUUCUAGUAUGCAAUCAUAUGACAUGUUUCAUGUAAAUUAAUAUGGGCUGCUAUCAAUUUUUUAAUCUGCAAUUGAUCUAGUGUUUUUUACAUGGUAGCUUAAUAUCCUCUUUCCUUUUCUAAUAUGCAAACUUCUAAUAUGUGAGGUGAAGAAGUGCAUGAGUUGCGGUUCGCCUUAGGCUCCUCCCACUCGUCGACGGUCUGGUCCAGCGUCACUUAACCGUUGUGACCUGGCCGGUUUGGUUCAGCUUUGAGCUGCCCACCGCGGAGUGGGAGGACGGCAUGCUCAUGAACAUCGAGGUCGGAUCAAGUAUGAUGGUGCACCGCGGCAUGUGGUGGCCUAUUUUUUUUUGUAGUGGUACUGUAUAUGGUCUCAUCCAACAUUGAGUAUCCAUAUGUUGUUUUAAUACUGAUGAUAAUGUUGUAGCAUAAAGUAGACACCAUAUCUGGUUUGUCUUGAUGUUUUAACUAUGGUGGUUCUUGUCUGAUGCACAUUAUUCUUUGAAGGGUUAUGAUGAUAGAAAUAUAUUGACCCUGAUGUGAGAAAGGUGCCCAUUUUCCCUUUGUUAAACAUUUUCACUCUGCUUUAUGUUCUUUGCGUGGUUCCAGUUUCACACUGCUGGUGUUUCAUGCGAUAUUCAUCGCAUCCUGCUCACAUGCCUUAUGAUCGAGUAACUUGAUGAAAAACUAUGUUGUUUGUUCAUUCUGCUAUAUUAUUUUGAGAUCAUGUGGUGUAAUGAUAUUGUUGUGUUAUUUUGAGAAUUAUAUUAUUAUCAUUAUAUUCUCAUGUGCUUUUUGUCGACUACCAAAUUUUCCAAUGAAAUGUUGUUGAUAUCCCUUGAAUAAUUGCUGGACUAAAUUAUGCGAGUGGGCUAGAAAUGGGAUGGUUCAAUUAAUGAUGGAAUGAAUAGCUGGGUUGUACAUUGCCUCUGCUAAGAAAAAACAUUAAGUGGGUCAAGGUUGUGGCCCAAAAGUAAAUCUAAAAUUGACAGAAAUAAUGGGCUCCACCUAUAGUUGUGGCCUAAAAGUAAAUCUAAUAAUGGGCUAAUUAUUGGGCUUGUCCCAUUAAAACAGGUGAUUUUAACCGAUCCUACAUGGCGUCCAUGUCAUCAUUUUUGCCAUGUCACUGCAUGUGCCACGUGGACAUUGCCACAUCAGAUCCUACGUGUUUCAAGCUCAUUAGUAAUGACCAUAAUUUUGGUCGUAGAUUUUACGACCAAUAUUUUGGUCAAGGGCGGCCAUGACCAGAAUUUCAGAAAAGGUCAAGUUUGUUUGUUCUUGACGGCCAACUUUUGACGUCCUGAAUUUGGUCAAAAAAAGGUCAAUAAACGAUAACAAUGACUAAUCAACGACCAAAAAGGAGAGUCACAAUCGACCAUAUUUCUUGUAGUGGUUUCAUUGUCUUGCAGUUUUAGUUUGUUUUCAUCUCUUUACUCAACGAUGUUUCUUUUGGCGUAACGCAGUGGGAUUGUUAACCCUUUCAUUUGCUUAGCUCCCGAGUAGAAUUUACAGGUUUGACUGAAUUGUGGAGAGGAAUGGCGAUUCGUUGCUGGUGUAGAGUCAGGAGUGCUUGGAGAAGGUUGCCAAGACGGUCUCCUUCCUCGCGCAACCUGAAGGGUCAUUCCUGUUGUUGCUCACAGUUCAAAAGGACCGCGCGCUGGAGCUCCUAAACGUGCACCCCUUCUACUUCGUUUACUUAUGUGGCGUGAUGACAGAAAGCAAACCUUUGGAGCCAUAGUUGUCUUUUUUGUGAUCUAAAAUAAUAAUGGUAACAUAUUAAUGCAAACAAAAUAAUAUUGUAGCUCAAAAAAUUGUAUGUGAAUAAUGAAUGGAUGCUAUGGAACUAUAUUUGUUA